CCUCUCUAGGCCCUCUGGUGGUGACGUAUAAGUGCUUUCUCAGUACUUUCUCUCGCUUUUGGACAAAUCCAAGUGCUGUAUCUGUACCCGAAUAGAAAUAAAGGAUUUUAAUGAAACAGUUUUCUUCCGCUCUGAAAGUGAACGAAUGACAAAACAGUCUAGAGAAUUCCUCGCCCUGCUGCAGAAGAUCAAUCCUGGGUUGUGCUCACCAAAGCAAACCUCUUUUUUGUGUAUUCAGUGUCUUAACUAUGUAAAAGACAACUAUAACAGGGUGUACAGUGCUGUUUCUGAAAUUGACGAAUCCUCUUGUGAUGAAGAUUGAAGAAGCUAUUGCCAUCCAAGUGGAAAAAGUCCCGCCUUUGUCACC